ACCAGAGUGGCUCACCUGGUAGAGCACCAGGCUGCCCAUCCUGUUGGUUCUCGGUUCAAAUCCGAGCUCUGGUGA
rnacentral:tRNA from 1 species